GACAGAGGGUGCAAACGUUGUUCGGAAUUACUGGGCGUAAAGCGUGUGUAGGCGGUCUUCUAAGUCGGGUGUGAAAUCCCUGGGCUCAACCCAGGAAGUGCACUCGAAACUGGAGGGCUAGAGUAUCGGAGAGGUUGGUGGAAUUCUCGGUGUAGAGGUGAAAUUCGUAGAUAUCGAGAGGAACACCGGUGGCGAAGGCGGCCAACUGGACGAAUACUGACGCUGAGACACGAAAGCGUGGGGAGCAAAC
rnacentral:rRNA from 1 species